rnacentral:rRNA from 1 species
UCAAGCUAAAAAGGGCGCAAGGUGAAUGCCUUGGCACUGGGAGCCGAUGAAAGACGUGGUAAGCUGCGAAAAGCUUCGGGGAGGAGCAAACAUCCAUUGAUCCGGAGAUAUCUGAAUGGGGCAACCCAAUGGAGUUCAUACUCCAUUAUCCAAUACUGAAUCCAUAGGUAUUGGAAGGGAACCGCCUGAACUGAAACAUCUAAGUAGGGCGAGGAAGAGACAUCAAACGAGAUUCCGUAAGUAGUGGCGAGCGAACGCGGAAGAGGGCAAACCGAGAGGAGAAAUCCUUUCGGGGUACGGACUGCUUUUAGGACUGAAAGAGUUAACAGAAUGGCAUGGGAAGGCCAACCGAAGAGUGUGAGAGUCACGUAAGUAAAAAUUCUGACAGCUGCGCAGGAUCCAGAGUACGGCCAGACACGUGAAACCUGGUCGGAAUACGGGGGGACCACCCUCCAACCCUAAAUACUACCCAGUGACCGAUAGCGUAUAGUACUGUGAAGGAAAGGUGAAAAGGACCCCGGGAGGGGAGUGAAAGAGAACCUGAAACCUUGUGCCUACAAGCACAUAGAGCCCGUCAAAGGGUGAUAUGGUACUUUUUGUAGAACGGUCCGGCGAGCGAUUGUACGUUGCGAGCUUAAGGUCUUAAGGACUGGAGGCGUAGCGAGAGCGAGUCUAAACAGGGCGUUUAGUAGCGUGCAAUGGGCCCGAAACCGGGUGACCUACCCAUGAUCAGGCUGAAGUGAAAGUAAAAUUUCAUGGAGGGCCGAACCGACCUCCGUUGAAAAGGCGGCGGAUGAAUUGUGGGUAGCGGAGAAAUUCCAAUCGAACUCGGAGAUAGCUGGUUCUCCCCGAAAUAGCUUUAGGGCUAGCCUCAUGUUAGAUAUCCGGAGGUAAAGCACUGAAUGGCCUAGCGUCCGAGAGGAUAGCGAAGCCUAUCAAACUAAGAAUGCCGGAAUAUUGAUGCAUGGGAGUCAGACAGUGUGAGAUAAAUCUCAUUGUCAAAAGGGAAACAGCCCAGAUCUACAGCUAAGGUCCCAAAUUGUAUCUAAGUGGAAAACGAUGUGGAAAUACGCAGACAACCAGGAUGUUGGCUCAGAAGCAGCCACUCAUUUAAAGAGUGCGUAAUAGCUCACUGGUCGAGCGUCUCUGCGCGGAAAAUUUAACGGGGCUAAGAUACAAACCGAAGCUUAGGCUGCACUUUUAGUGCGGGGUAGGGGAGCGUUGUGUAAGCGGAGAAACAGUAGCGUAAGCGGCUGUGGAGUUUACAGAAGUGAGAAUGCCGGAAUGAGUAGCGCGAAUGAUGUGAGAAUCAUCAUGGCCGGAAACCUCAGGUUUUUGGAGGAAGGUUCGUCCGCUCCAAGUUAGGCGGGAGCUAAGGUGAGGCCGAAAGGCGUAGCCGAUGCACAGACGGUAGAGAUUCCGUCCCCACCGAAAGAUUUAAGCGCAGGGACACUUUUAGAAGGUCGGAGCCAGGUGUUGGUUCUGGUAGAGAUCGAGGGAAAUUUAGUACCGAAGUCCGGCUGGAUAAGAGGCGAGAAAAGCUGCGUGUAUAUCUAAGGUGCCCGUACCGCAAACCGACACAGGUAGGUAGGAAGAAGAUUCUAAGGCCAACGGGAGAAGGGUUGUUAAGGAACUCGGCAAGUUGACCCCGUAACUUCGGAAUAAGGGGUGCUCAUGAAAGUGAGCCGCAGAGAAUAGGCCCAGGCAACUGUUUACCAAAAACACAGGUUUGUGCUAAAUCGAAAGAUGACGUAUACGAGCUGACGCCUGCCCGGUGCUGGAAGGUUAAAAGGAGAUGUGCAAGCAUUGAAUUGAAGCCCCAGUGAACGGCGGCCGUAACUAUAACGGUCCUAAGGUAGCGAAAUUCCUUGUCAGGUAAG